UGGAUCGAUUCGCAUUCUUCUACAC
rnacentral:piRNA from 1 species